UUUCUUCUCCCACCCUGGCCGAACGAAUGGCUCCAUCGCUCCACCACCAACGCUGAAGCUGCGCAGGACCACAGAGCUCACGCCGCGCCGAGACUAGCAGGGGCAGCUCUCCACUAGGCCAGAUACGACUGAGCCACCGUCGGAGACCAAAUAGUUGUUUCUCCGCGUCCUCCAAGCCGAUCCCAGGCCCCACUAUGCGGUCGGUGCGGCAGGUGCGAGAUCUCGAUCUGGCCGUGGCGACAGGCUAGGCGGCAGGAGCGUCGUCGGGUAGGCUCCGCGUUGUUUGUUGAUGAAGACAUACAUCACGUCGCGAGAUGGGUACAACAGUGUUGAGGCUGUGCCGAUUGCAGUUAUUUCGGAAGAAGUGACUACCGAGCUGGUCGUGUUCGGCUUGAAUUAUACUCCAUAGAUCCUUUUUGUCAGUUCCCAGCUGAUAAAGUUGCGUGAUUGUACUGGCUCUUUUUCUGAAUUCAUUCCGCGAGCACACGAGCACAUCAGAGCUGUCUUCAUCUGUAAUCGGCUGAUCAAACAUUUUUUUUGUGUGUGCAAUUGGUAAUCUGCCUAACUAA